AUCAGUAGCCGGACUGAGAGGUUGAACGGCCACAUUGGGACUGAGAUACGGCCCAGACUCCUACGGGAGGCAGCAGUCGGGAAUAUUGCGCAAUGGAGGAAACUCUGACGCAGUGACGCCGCGUGCAGGAAGAAGGUUUUCGGAUUGUAAACUGCUUUAGACAGGGAAGAAAAAAGACAGUACCUGUAGAAUAAGCUCCGGCUAACUACGUGCCAGCAGCCGCGGUAAUACGUAGGGAGCGAGCGUUAUCCGGAUUUAUUGGGUGUAAAGGGUGCGUAGGCGGUUUCUUAAGUCUGUAGUCUAAGCCCGGAGCUUAACUCCGGUUCGCUACAGAAACUGAGUUACUUGAGUAUGGUAGAGGCAAGUGGAAUUUCUAGUGUAGCGGUUAAAUGCGUAGAUAUUAGAAGGAACACCGGUGGCGAAGGCGACUUGCUGGGCCAUCACUGACGCUGAGGCACGAAAGCGUGGGGAGCAAAUAGGAUUAGAUACCCUAGUAGUCCACGCCGUAAACGAUGGAUACUAAGUGUCGGAGUUAUUCGGUGCUGAAGUUAACACAUUAAGUAUCCCACCUGAGUAGUACGGUCGCAAGGCUGAAACUCAAAGGAAUUGACGGGCACCCGCACAAGCGGUGGAGCAUGCUGUUUAAUUCGAAGAUACGCGAAGAACCUUACCUAGACUUGACAUCCCCGGCAAAGCUAUAGAAAUAUAGUGGAGGUUACCCGGGUGACAGGUGGUGCAUGGUUGUCGUCAGCUCGUGUCGUGAGAUGUUCGGUUAAGUCCGCUAACGAGCGCAACCCUUAUCCUUAGUUGCUAACAUUAAGUUGAGAACCCUAAGGAGACUGCCGGUGACAAACCGGAGGAAGGUGGGGAUGACGUCAAAUCAUCAUGCCCCUUACGUCUAGGGCUACAGGCGUGCUAUAAUGGCCGAUACAAUGAGACGCAAUACCGCGAGGUGGAGCAAAUCUAUAAAGUCGGUCUCAGUUCGGAUUGAAGUCUGCAACCCGACUUCAUGAAGCUGGAAUCGCUAGUAAUCCCAAAUCAGAAUGUUGGGGUGAAUACGUUCCCGGGUGUUGUACACACCGCCCGUCAUGCCAUGAAAGUUUGUAAUACCCGAAUGUGGUAGCCUAACCUUUUUAAGGAGGGGGCCAUUUAAGGUAGGACAAGUGAUUGGGGUAAAGUCGUAACAAGGUAUCCCUACGAGAACGUGGGGAUG
rnacentral:rRNA from 1 species